rnacentral:rRNA from 1 species
GACGAACGCUGGCGGCGUGCUUAACACAUGCAAGUCGAACGCUGAAGCUCAGCUUGCUGGGUGGAUGAGUGGCGAACGGGUGAGUAACACGUGAGUAACCUGCCCUCUUCUUUGGGAUAACGCCCGGAAACGGGUGCUAAUACUGGAUAUUCACUGAUUCUCGCAUGGGGGUUGGUGGAAAGGUUUUUUCUGGUGGGGGAUGGGCUCGCGGCCUAUCAGCUUGUUGGUGGGGUGAUGGCCUACCAAGGCUUUGACGGGUAGCCGGCCUGAGAGGGUGACCGGUCACAUUGGGACUGGGAUACGGCCCAGACUCCUACGGGAGGCAGCAGUGGGGAAUAAUGCACAAUGGGCGAAAGCCUGAUGCAGCGACGCCGCGUGAGGGAUGGAGGCCUGCGGGUUGUAAACCUCUGUCGCUCAUGGUCAAGCCGCAGCUUUGGGUUGUGGUGAGGGUAGUGGGUAAAGAAGCGCCGGCUAACUACGUG